rnacentral:rRNA from 1 species
GACGGAGGGUGCAAGCGUUGUUCGGAUUGACUGGGCGUAAAGGGCGCGUAGGCGGCCACGCACGUCCGUUGUGAAAUCGCCCGGCUCAACUGGGCGGGGUCAGCGGAUACGGUGUGGCUCGAGCAAGCUAGGGGGCAAUGGAAUUCCCGGUGUAGUGGUGGAAUGCGUAGAUAUCGGGAGGAACACCAGUGGCGAAGGCGGUUGCCUGGAGCUUUGCUGACGCUGAGGCGCGAAAGCGUGGGGAGCGAUCCGG